rnacentral:rRNA from 1 species
GAUGAACGCUAGCGAUAGGCCUAACACAUGCAAGUCGAGGGGCAUCACAUGAAGUAGCAAUACGGAUGGUGGCGACCGGCGCACGGGUGAGUAACACGUAUGCAACCUGCCUUCAACAAGGGGAUAACCCGUUGAAAGACGGACUAAUACCCUAUAACACAGGGGUCCCGCAUGGGAAUAUUUGUUAAAGGACAACCGGUUGAAGAUGGGCAUGCGUUCCAUUAGCUAGUUGGCGGGGUAACGGCCCACCAAGGCAACGAUGGAUAGGGGAACUGAGAGGUUUAUCCCCCACACUGGUACUGAGACACGGACCAGACUCCUACGGGAGGCAGCAGUGAGGAAUAUUGGUCAAUGGACGCAAGUCUGAACCAGCCACGUCGCGUGAAGGAAGACGGCCCUACGGGUUGUAAACUUCUUUUAUACGGGGAAUAAAGUGCCCCACGCGUGGGGUUUUGCAUGUACCGUAUGAAUAAGGAUCGGCUAACUCCGUGCCAGCAGCCGCGGUAAGUACGCAGCGA